AAAGAAAAAAUUGCAAAAUAAAAGAGCUUUGUCGAAAAUCCUGUGUCCCACAACUCCACAAAAGUACCACAACUCCACAAGGCACAAAUCAUUCAAUAUGAACAACAUAACGGUCUUUUAUCAUCAUCAAAUCAUGCUUUCAAAAUUCAAACUUCAAAUCAUAGAUAAUUAAUUAGUUUUCAACUUGAUCACAUAUCUUCUCAAAAUCUCAACAGACGAUUCUCGUGAUACAAUUAGGGUUUGAUUUAGGACUUCAACCAUCAAUCAUGGAGACGAGAGAUUCAGUAGUAGAAAUCGAGAGUUUAGAAAAGGGAUUAUUAUCGGAAGAGAGCUCAAAAAAUGGCGACAUCAUAGAAGAAGAAGACGAUACAACGGUCAUCUACACGGCGUCGUUUCAGGAAAUGGAGGAGAAUUUCGUUAAGUAUCAAACAACACAAUGGGUGUUGUAUUCAUUACUGUCGAUAUUAUUUUGGGGAAUUGGGGUUUUGAUGUUGUUAUAUGUUCCUGUUCGAAGAUUCAUAUUGCGCAAAGAUAUACAAUCUCGAAAACUUUAUGUCACGCGUGAUGCUAUUAUUUAUAAAGCUACAAGGCCAGUAGCAUUUCCUUGCUUUGGUGUGUUAAAGAAGGAGAAAUAUGUGCUGUUGCCCUCAGUAGCAGAUAUUGUGAUUGAACAAGGGUAUCUAGAGUCUUUUUUUGGUGUUUACUCUGUUCGAAUUGAGAACGCUGGUGUCAGAAGACCGCCUAGUGAUGAUCUUAAGAUUCAAGGUAUUACGAAUCCAAGUGCCUUUCGAAAGGCUGUUCUAAAUCACCUCUCAAAAGUAAGGACUGAAGCUUUCACUAGACAAAUAUAUGUAAAUGAAGGUGCUCCAAGUAUGACGGGUGGUCAUCCACAAGUUGCUGGGAUGUCUCCUCCAAAAUCUAUUAAACAUGAUGUUAUUGCACCUGGUGAGUUGGGACUUCUACAAAAACUAGAAGAAGUUGGAACUUCUAUCAAGAGAGUUCAAAAACUGAUAGAGGAACAGCAAUCUCAAGCAUAACCUGUAGAUUGAGGUGAGAAUCUUGGCCUGUAGACAAUAGCUUGGAACUUGCUGUACAGAAGAAGGUGCAAACUCGAAGAUUUUUUCAUAUUGACAGUAAUGAUUCAUGGGAGAAGGGAGGAGGUGUAUCGACUGGAACAGAAACUUGUUGAAGCAACUCAAGGCAAUGCCAGUGUUUCUGAAUCUAUACAUAAUUACAGACAAUUUGGGAUGAGAUUAAUGAUGCAAAGCCAUUACCUUAUUAUACUUGUCACAAGUGCACUUGUAAAAAAUACACACUAGAGAACAAGAGCAAAGAAUAAUUCAGUUCAUCAUUGUUUUUUAAUUGUAAGAGGCAAUAUCCUUAUGUCUCAGCCACUUCCUAAUGUUGCCCAUGCUUACCUAA